rnacentral:tRNA from 1 species
GUCUGUUUAGUCUAACGGUUUAGGACGUUACCCUUUCACGGUAAAAAUACGAGUUCAAUUCUCGUAACAGAUA